AUGUGGUCCUAUUGUUCAUAUCUACUGUACUAGCCAGUGUGCCAGUCCUGUCUAGCCCUUUCCCCAGAAGGAUAGUUCAGGAAGGGGGUGGGGCUGAGUUCUGUUGACAACAAUGCCAGGACCCCAUGCCGCCAAGGACAGUGGCUCCUCACAGCUGAUGGGCAAGUCCUAGAAGGCUACCUGGACAAGUCUGGGCACCAAGGUGGCAAAGGACAUUAACCAGGAUGAUAAGGAGUACCAGCCCCACCAGAGGACCCCCCACUGCAGCCAGCACUGAACCCCCAGCCAGGGAAAGUCCAAAGGCUGCUAGGGGUAGCAGAAGGAAGGCCCGGGGCACCCUCACAGCACCUGCAUUGAUAACGGUCUUCACAGCCUGUGCAAUGCGACCCCGCAGCACAGAGUUGAGCAGUUUAACGAUGAGGACCAGACAGACACAGAGCACCAGCAGCGAACCUGCCAGCAGGAUGAAGCCCACAGCCAGGACAGGGCUCCUGCCUCCUGCUCGUCAGCCAGAUGCAGUUACCUUCCUCCGGCACAUCUGUCCUCACCUGGAUGAUGAGGUGUGUGAAAGGUCGAGUCAGUG